UCCACUUCAUUACAAAACUGCCCAAAAAAUCACACACAAAGAUAGAGAAAGAUAAGGAUCACAUACUUCUCAUCUUUAACAGCAAGAUUAAGCAAAGCCAAGAGAGCCGACUCGUUCUCAACGGAGUCAUCAUCACCAACUCGUAACAUACAAACCAGUGGCUUAACAGCAUCAGCUAACUGCCUCCUGCACCUCUGAGAAGUUUUGGUUAACCUUCUUAUCUCCUUCGCCGCUUCUAUUUUCAAACUCAAAUCAUCAGAUUGGAUUAAUAGUAGCGCACGGCAGACUGCGGCGGAGGGGGAGGGUGGCGUGUCGGUGUUGGAAGAAGAGGUGGAGUGAGUGAGUGCGGAGGAGCAGGAGGAGGGGGGGGAGUUCAUUGUGAGAUAAAGAGGAGUUAGUUUUUGUCUGUUGGGAGGUUUAGCUGCGUGGGAGUUUGGGUAGGAGAGAGAAAGAGAAAAAAUCGGAAAGUGAGGGGUUCGUUAGAGAGAGAAAAACUUGUAUGGAGGUGUCUGUACUUAUGGUGGUGGGAGGUUUGUUUCGUCGUUGGUUGCGUGGGAGAGUUUGGGGGUCUUGGCUUGGGGUGGCGUUAAGCAACCUCUUUUUUUUUUCCCGUGCUCGCCAAUUGACGAAGGAAAAUAAAUAUUUUACGAUGCAUAUAUUUAGCUAGUUUUUUAUACAGUUAUUAAACGUUUCUUG
rnacentral:lncRNA from 1 species